rnacentral:tRNA from 1 species
GCCCAGAUAGCUCAGGGGCAGAGCACUUCCUUGGUAAGGAAGAGGUCGGCGGUUCAAAUCCGCUUCUGGGCU